rnacentral:rRNA from 1 species
GGGUCAGUAGGUUGGUCGUGCCACCGGUACGUACUGGUCUCACUGAUUCCUCCUUCCCGAAGAACCGUAAUGCCGUUAAUUUGGUGUUGCGGGGAAACAGGACUGUUACUUUGAAAAAAUUAGAGUGUUUAAAGCAAGCUAACGCUUGAAUACAUUAGCAUGGAAUAAUGAAAUAGGACGAUCGAUCCUAUUUUGUUGGUUUCUAGGAUUGACGUA